UACGAAGGGGGCGAGCGUUGUUCGGAUUUACUGGGCGUAAAGGGCGCGUAGGCGGCGGGUCAAGUCGAGUGUGAAAGCCCCGGGCUCAACCUGGGAAUUGCGCUCGAGACUGGUCUGCUUGAGUUCGGGAGAGGAGAGUGGAAUUCCCAGUGUAGAGGUGAAAUUCGUAGAUAUUGGGAAGAACACCGGUGGCGAAGGCGGCUCUCUGGACCGAGACUGACGCUGAGGCGCGAAAGCGUGGGGAGCAAACAGG
rnacentral:rRNA from 1 species